UACAGAGGUCCCAAGCGUUGUUCGGAUUCACUGGGCGUAAAGGGUGCGUAGGCGGUCGGGGAAGUCUGAUGUGAAAUCUCACAGCUUAACUGUGAAACUGCAUUGGAUACUAUCCGGCUCGAGGAAUGGAGGGGAGACUGGAAUACUUGGUGUAGCAGUGAAAUGCGUAGAUAUCAAGUGGAACACCAGUGGCGAAGGCGGGUUGCUGGGCUGACACUGACGCUGAUGCGCGAAAGCUAGGGGAGCGAACGGG
rnacentral:rRNA from 1 species